rnacentral:rRNA from 1 species
GUGCCAGCCGCCGCGGUAAUACAGAGGUGGCAAGCGUUGUUCGGAAUUACUGGGCGUAAAGGGCGCGUAGGCGGCCCGCCAAGUCCCGUGUGAAAGCCCCCGGCUCAACCGGGGAACGGCGCGGGAAACUAGCAGGCUUGAGUUCGGGAGAGGGAAGCGGAAUUCCGGGUGUAGCGGUGAAAUGCGCAGAUAUCCGGAGGAACACCGGUGGCGAAGGCGGCUUCCUGGACCGACACUGACGCUGAGGCGCGAAAGCUAGGGGAGCAAACGGGAUUAGAAACCCCAGUAGUCC